rnacentral:misc_RNA from 1 species
CCGAGGUUUCCCGGGGCUCUCUCCCCUCUCGUUUCCCGGGAGGGGAGGCCCCCCGGUCUCUCUUUUUUUUUCCACCGUGCUGAUUCCGACCCCUGUUGCUUCAGCGGGCGGGCCUGGAGGGUGAUGCUAGCUCCAACCCUCCAACCGCCAUCAUGCCCGCUGGAGAUCUCCCUGUAACGUUGCUUUAAGUGAAGAGUUUGUCUGAGUGGGCGUGAAAAUUCGUUAUA